rnacentral:tRNA from 1 species
GGGGUUGUGGCUCAGUGGUAGAGCACUUGCCUAGCAUGUGUGAGGCCCUGGGUUCUACUCUCAGCACCA